CCUACGGGAGGCAGCAGUGAGGAAUAUUGGUCAAUGGCCGAGAGGCUGAACCAGCCAAGUCGCGUGAGGGAAGACGGCCCUACGGGUUGUAAACCUCUUUUGUCGGGGAGCAAAGCGAGUCACGUGUGACUCAUUGAGAGUACCCGACGAAAAAGCAUCGGCUAACUCCGUGCCAGCAGCCGCGGUAAUACGGAGGAUGCGAGCGUUAUCCGGAUUUAUUGGGUUUAAAGGGUGCGCAGGCGGGGGUGCAAGUCAGCGGUCAAAUUGCGGGGCUCAACCCCGUACUGCCGUUGAAACUGGAGCCCUUGAGUGCGCGAGAAGUAGGCGGAAUGCGUGGUGUAGCGGUGAAAUGCAUAGAUAUCACGCAGAACUCCGAUUGCGAAGGCAGCAUACCGGCGCGCAACUGACGCUCAUGCACGAAAGCGUGGGUAUCGAACAGGAUUAGAUACCCCAGUAGUC
rnacentral:rRNA from 1 species